rnacentral:rRNA from 3 species
UAUAGGAAUCUACCUAGUAGUACGGAAUAAUUGUUGGAAACGGCAACUAAUACCGUAUACGCCCUACGGGGGAAAAAUUUAUUGCUAUUAGAUGAGCCUAUAUUAGAUUAGCUAGUUGGUGGAGUAAUAGCCUACCAAGGCAAUGAUCUAUAGCUGAUCUGAGAGGAUGAUCAGCCACACUGGAACUGAGAUACGGUCCAGACUCCUACGGGAGGCAGCAGUGGGGAAUAUUGGACAAUGGGCGAAAGCCUGAUCCAGCCAUGCCGCAUGAGUGAAGAAGGCCUUUGGGUUGUAAAGCUCUUUUAGUGAGGAAGAUAAUGACGGUACUCACAGAAGAAGUCCUGGCUAACUCCGUGCCAGCAGCCGCGGUAAUACGGAGAGGGCUAGCGUUAUUCGGAAUUAUUGGGCGUAAAGGGCGCGUAGGCGGAUUAGUAAGUUAAAAGUGAAAUCCCAAGGCUCAACCUUGGAAUUGCUUUUAAAACUGCUAAUCUAGAGAUUGAAAGAGGAUAGAGGAAUUCCUAGUGUAGAGGUGAAAUUCGUAAAUAUUAGGAGGAACACCAGUGGCGAAGGCGUCUAUCUGGUUCAAAUCUGACGCUGAGGCGCGAAGGCGUGGGGAGCAAACAGGAUUAGAUACCCUGGUAGUCCACGCUGUAAACGAUGAAUGUUAAAUAUGGGAAGUUUUACUUUCUGUAUUACAGCUAACGCGUUAAACAUUCCGCCUGGGGACUACGGUCGCAAGAUUAAAACUCAAAGGAAUUGACGGGGACCCGCACAAGCGGUGGAGCAUGUG